rnacentral:rRNA from 1 species
UUUUGAAUUUUUAAUUUAAGCAGUUAAGAGUUUAUGGGGGAUACCUAGGUAUUCAAAAGCGAUGAAGGACGUGGUUACCGACGAAAUGCUUCGAGGAGUUGGAAACUAAUUAAGAUUCGAAGAUAUCCGAAUGAGGAAACUCUGAGUACUUUUAACUAAGAGCGAACCUAAGGAACUGAAACAUCUUAGUACUUAGAGGAAUAAAAAGUAAAAAACGAUUUUCUUAGUAGUGGCGAGCGAAAAGGAAGAAGUCUAAACUUAAUAGUCUAGUUUUUCUGUUUAAAUUAGUGAAUUUGGUACACUAUUUUGUUAAUUUAACUUAAAGAGUAUUCUAAUAAGUGUUGUGGGGUUAAAUAGUUUCGCGUGUGAAAGUGUAUCGGGUUGCUCAAUGAUUUAAAUUAUGUAAAAAGGUAAAUGAAUAAAUUGGAAUAUUUAGCCAGAGAAAGUAAAAGCCUUGUAAUUGAUUCGAUUUUAAUUUCAGUUUCUCCCGAGUAGUAUAGAACAUGUAUUAUUCUGUAUGAAUCUGCGAGAACCAUCUCGUAAGACUAAAUAUUCUUGAAUGACCGAUAGUGAAAAAGUACCGUGAGGGAAAGGUGAAAAGAACCUCGGAUAGGGGAGUGAAAAGAACAUGAAACCAUAAACUUACAAUCAAUAGAAGAACGACUAAUAACGUUUGACUGUAUGCCUGUUGAAGAAGGAGCCGACGACUUAUAAUUUUUGGCAGGUUAAAAUUUAUUUAUUGGAGCCAUAGUGAAAGCGAGCUUUAACAAAGCGUAUGUCAUAAAUUAUAGACCCGAACCCGGAUGAUCUAACCAUGAUCAGGUUGAAGUUUUAUUAAACUAAAAUGGAGGACCGAACCGAUUGAUGCUGAAAAAUCAUCGGAUGAAUUGUGGUUAGGGGUGAAAUGCCAAUCGAAUUCGGAGCUAGCUGGUUCUCCUCGAAAUGCGUUUUGGCGCAGCGAUAAUUAUUAUAAUAACUUAGGGGUAAAGCACUGUUAUAUACGUAGGCUGGUAAAACGGUACCAAGUUAUGGCAAACUAAGAAUACUAAGUGAAAAAUUUAUCAGUGAGACUAUGAGGGAUAAGCUUCAUUGUCAAAAGGGAAACAGCCCAGAAUACUAGUUAAGGCCCUCAAAAAAUUACUAAGUGAUAAAGGAAGUAAAAACACAUAAACAAUUAGAAGGUUGGCUUAGAAGCAGCAAUCCUUUAAAGAGUGCGUAAUAGCUCACUGAUUUAGUGAUUUUGCACCAAAAAUGAAUGGGACUAAGUAAUUUGCCGAAACUGUAUAAUAUAUUAAUUUAUAUUGGUAGAGGAGCGUUCUGUUACGGGUAGAAGUAUUAAUGAAAAUGAAUAUGGACUAAGCAGAAGUGAGAAUGUCGGCUUGAGUAACGAAAAUAUAGGUGAGAAUCCUAUACCCCGAAAAUUCAAGGUUUCCUAUGGAAGGUUCGUCCGCAUAGGGUAAGUCAGAACCUAAGACGAGGCUGAAAAGAAUAGUCGAUGGAUAACAGGUUAAUAUUCCUGUACUAAUCUUGUAGCGUGAUUAAUAAGGAAUGACGAAAGAGGCUACUAUUUUUUGAAAAAUGGUUUUUCAAAUGAAGCAUAUAAGGUAUUAAAAAUAGAAGAAAAUAUUUUUAGCUGAAUUGCGAUAAUUAUAAUAUAAUGAUAUUAUAAAAAUAUAUGUCAUAUUUCCAAGAAAAGUUCUUUUUAUUUGGCUAAUGGAUAUCUGUACCAUAACCGACACAGGUGAAUAGGUAGAAUAUACUAAGGGGCGCGAGAGAACUCUCCCUAAGGAACUCGGCAAAAUGGCUCUGUAACUUCGGAAUAAGGAGUGCCUUUAAGGUUGCAAUAAAAUGAUCCAAACAACUGUUUAUCAAAAACACAGGUUUCCGCUAAGUCGUAAGACGAUGUAUGGGAGCUGACGCCUGCCCAGUGCCAAAAAGUUAAAGAAGUUGUUAAUAUUUAAUUAUAUUAAUAAUAACGUAAGCUUUGGUGAACGGCGGCCGUAACUAUAACGGUCCUAAGGUAGCGAAAUUCCUUGUCGGGUAAGUUCCGACCUGCACGAAAGGCGUAAUGAUUUGGGUACUGUCUCAGGGAGAGACUCGGUGAAAUAGACUUGUCUGUGAAGAUGCGGACUACCUACACCAGGACAGAAAGACCCUAUGAAGCUUUACUGUAAUUUGAAAUUGAUAUAAAAUUAUAUUUGUACAGCAUAGAUAGGAGGUUUUGAUUAAAUUAAAUUUAUGUAUUUAUGAGCCAUCAGUGAGAUACUAUCCAAAUAUAAUUAUAUAUCUUAUUUUAUAUAAAAACCUAUUAAAAAACAGUUUCUGAUGGUCAGUUUGACUGGGGCGGUCGCCUCCUAAAGAGUAACGGAGGCGCACAAAGGUUUCCUCUGAACGUAUGGAAAUCGUAUCUAGAGUGUAAAGGCAUAAGGAAGCUUGACUGUGAGAUUUACAAAUCAAGCAGGGACGAAAGUCGGUCUUAGUGAUCUGAUAGUUCUAAAUGGAAAGGCUAUCACUCAACGGAUAAAAGUUACUCUAGGGAUAACAGGCUGAUCUCCCUCGAGAGUUCAUAUCGACGGGGAGGUUUGGCACCUCGAUGUCGGCUCAUCGCAUCCUGGAGCGGUAGCACGUUCCAAGGGUUGGGCUGUUCGCCCAUGAAAGCGGUACGUGAGCUGGGUUCAGAACGUCGUGAGACAGUUUGGUCCAUAUCCGGUGUAGGCGUAAGAAUAUUGAAAGGAACUUUUUUUAGUACGAGAGGACCAAAAAAGAUAUACCAAUGGUGUACCAGUUAUUGUACCAACAGUAAACGCUGGGUAGCUACGUAUAUAAUAGAUAACCACUGAAAGCAUAUAAGUGGGAAACUUACCUUAAGAUAAUUAUUCUUUUUUAAUUUUAAAAUAAGAUCACGGUUAGACGAACCGGUUGAUAGGCAUCAAGUAAAAGUAUAGAGAUAUAUGUAGCUAAGAUGUACUAAUAGAUCGAA